AGGACGAACGCUGGCGGCGUGCUUAACACAUGCAAGUCGAGCGGAAAGGCCCUUCGGGGUACUCGAGCGGCGAACGGGUGAGUAACACGUGAGCAAUCUGCCCCUAGCUUCGGGAUAGCUCCGGGAAACCGGAAUUAAUACCGAAUACGACUACGGCCGACAUCGGCUGUGGUGGAAAGUUUUUCGGCUAGGGAUGAGCUCGCGGCCUAUCAGUCUUGUUGGUGAGGUAACGGCUCACCAAGGCGACG
rnacentral:rRNA from 1 species